rnacentral:rRNA from 1 species
UUAAUUCCCAGGUCAAUAGUGUAUAUUAGAGUUGUUGCAGUUAAAAAGCUCGUAGUUGGAUUUCUGUCGUGGUCAUCCGGCUCCGCCUGUAUGGGUGUGCGCCUGGUUUGCCCGCGGCUUUCUUCCGGUAGCCUACCGCGCUUCACUGCGUGCGUUGGUGUUCCCCGGAACUUUUACUUUGAGAAAAAUAGAGUGUUUCAAGCAGGCUUGUCGCCCUGAAUACUUCAGCAUGGAAUAAUAAGAUAGGACCUUGGUUCUAUUUUGUUGGUUUCUAGGACCAAGGUAAUGGUUAAUAGGGACAGUUGGGGGCAUUCGUAUUUAACUGUCAGAGGUGAAAUUCUUAGAUUUGUUAAAGACGAACUACUGCGAAAGCAUUUGCCAAGGAUGUUUUCAUUAAUCAAGAACGACAGUAGGGGGUUUGAAGACGAUUAGAUACCGUCGUAAUCUCUACCAUAAACUAUGCCGACUAGAGAUAGGGAAUGCAUUAUUCCAAUCUUCCCUGCACCUCAUGAGAAAUCAAAGUCUCUGGGUUCUGGGGGGAGUAUGGUCGCAAGGCUGAAACUUAAAGGAAUUGACGGAAGGGCACCACCAGGCGUGGAGCCUGCGGCUUAAUUUGACUCAACACGGGGAAACUCACCAGGUCCAGACAUGGAAAAGGAUUGACGA